rnacentral:rRNA from 1 species
GGCUUAGGAUGAACGCUAGCGGCAGGCUUAACACAUGCAAGUCGAGGGGCAUCGGGAGUAGCAAUACUUGCCGGCGACCGGCGCAAGGGUGCGUAACGCGUGAGCAACAUGCCCGUAUCAGGGGGGAUAAUCCAUGGAAACGUGGUCUAAUACCCCAUAGUAAUUAUGUAAGGCAUCUUAUAUAAUUUAAAGCUUUGGUGGAUACGGAUUGGCUCGCGUGACAUUAGCUAGAUGGUAAGGUAACGGCUUACCAUGGCUACGAUGUCUAGGGGUUCUGAGAGGAACGGUCCCCCCACACUGGAACUGAGACACGGUCCAGACUCCUACGGGAGGCAGCAGUGAGGAAUAUUGGACAAUGGAUGGAAAUCUGAUCCAGCCAUGCCGCGUGCAGGAAAGGACCGGCCCUAUGGGUUGUAAACUGUCUUUUGUAUGGGAGCAAUAAGGGCUACGUGUAGUCCGAUGAGAGUACCAUACGAAUAAGCACCGGCUAACUCCGUGCCAGCAGCGGC